AUGAUCGUCGGGAGGAAGAAUGCCGGCAAGGCCUCCCCCUUCUUGCUCAUCCUCAUCUCGGUCGGCUGCUUCUUCGCGACCUACAACUUCCUCACAAUGGUGGGCCACAGCCGAAGCGGAGACGGGCCACGCAAAUUGCUCGGCAGCGGCGAUCAGGGCGGUGCCGUGGCCUUCGGGUCUGGUUCGGACCCGUCGAAGAGGUUCCACGUCGCCCUUACGGCGACGGAUGCGCUGUACAGCCAGUGGCAGUCGCGGAUAAUGUACUACUGGUACAAGCAGAUGAGGGUCAGGCCUGGCUCGGAUAUGGGCGGCUUCACGCGGAUCCUUCACUCCGGAAAGCCGGAUGGUUUGAUGGAUGAGAUACCCACCUUAGUGGUUGACCCCCUCCCUGAAGGCGCUGACCGGGGUUACAUUGUCCUCAAUAGACCUUGGGCAUUUGUCCAAUGGUUGCAAAAGGCAAACAUCAAGGAGGAUUAUAUACUUAUGGCUGAGCCAGAUCAUAUCUUUGUGAAGCCUUUGCCAAACUUAGCUCAUGGUGAAGAACCUGCUGCAUUUCCGUUUUUCUACAUCAAACCAACUGACAAUGAGAAGAUACUAAGGAAGUUCUUUCCAGAAGAAAAAGGUCCUGUCUCAAAUAUCGAUCCUAUUGGCAACUCCCCUGUGAUUAUCCAGAAGGCCCAGCUUGAGAAGAUUGCUCCAACCUGGAUGAAUGUUUCGCUAAAAAUGAAAGAGGAUGUGGAGACAGACAAAGCUUUUGGAUGGGUCUUGGAAAUGUAUGCAUAUGCUGUUGCAAGUGCAUUGCAUGGUGUGCACCACAGCCUCCAAAAAGAUUUCAUGAUUCAGCCUCCAUGGGACGCAAAAUCAGACAACACAUUCAUCAUCCAUUAUACUUACGGAUGUGACUAUUCAUUAAAGGGUGAGCUGACUUAUGGUAAGAUCGGGGAAUGGCGUUUUGAUAAGAGAUCUUAUCUUCGCUCACCACCACCAAGAAAUCUUUCAUUACCCCCUCCAGGAGUUCCUGAAAGUGUGGCCACCCUUGUGAAGAUGGUCAAUGAGGCCACUGCAAACAUUGUAGGGUGGGACGACGAAAUAUGA
rnacentral:rRNA from 1 species